AGAGAGAGGUGGCUAAGAAAUAUACCUAGGAAGGACUUCUCAGCAACUCCAUAUUCUCGGGUGUGCCAUAAACAUUUUCAACCUGAUGACCUCAUCUGGGAAACAUCAGCUUUCGAUGAAAAAAAUGGGAAAAUCAUUAAAGCUUCACUGCAGAGACCAAAACUAAAAGAAGGCGCUUUUCCUAGCAUAUUUGAUGGCUGUCCAUCGUAUUUAUCUUCACAAGCUGGUAGUUCGAGAAAAAGUCCGAAUGAGAAAAAAAUGGAACGAGAAGCAAACCUCAUGAUGAAAGCUAUUGCUCAUAGUAAAUUAUCAGCUGCUGAGUAUUAUAAAUCGAGGACAUUUUCAGACUUUAAUGAACUUUUAACCUGUUGUAUGCAAUAUAAAUUUUCUACAUUUUGGAACGUUGUGCACAAAGACAAUAUCUUGAUGUUUUUGAAUUUAAAAUGCACUGAUGGAUGUGUAAAAUUGCUUUAUGCAGUCCACAUUACUGCAGAUCUUUUAUUAUCUGUAUCGUUUCAAAAUAAGUUAUUGACUCAUAUCAGUAGUAAGUAUAAUGAGUUACCUAUAAAAGUAAGUAAUAUUAAUGAAAUUCAUGAAAUACUU